CGCAGCCGUGCAAGGUGUCACGGCGUUAGCGUUAAUGCUUCCUUCAGGGAGACCGGUGUAGGAGUGAAAUGUAGCUCCAAGCUGUCAGUUUUGAUACAAGAAGACAUGCGAAAGCACAUGGCGCACGUUGAAAAAAGCAGUAACGGUGAGCGUUUCACACAAAACGACAGCCAUCACUUCUUGGCCGCACGAUCUACGAGAUCUUACCACCCACCGCCAAGCAAGUACACGGCUUCUGGUGGUGUGUGUUAUAAAGACAAUGGCCCGAAAACACAACGGACACUACCUCCUCCUCAGAGCUCAGAGAGACAGCACAUACAGACUAUACACAUUCCUAAAGCUUUGGUAGCUGCCCCAUUUCUGCAGCACCCAGCGCUUACACCUGGACAGAAACGCUACCUGUACAGCAUUGCCAAAGUCUACAGCACAGAACACAUCCG